rnacentral:rRNA from 1 species
UACGUAGGGGCAAGCGUUGUCCGGAAUCAUUGGGCGUAAAGCGCACGUAGGCGGCCUGUUAAGUCGGGUGUGAAAGCCCUGGGCUCAACCCAGGAAGUGCACUCGAUACUGGCAGGCUUGAAUAUGGAAGAGGGUCGCGGAAUUCCCGGUGUAGAGGUGAAAUUCGUAGAUAUCGGAGGAACACCAGUGGCGAAGGCGGCGACCUGGC